rnacentral:sRNA from 1 species
UUUCCGGCGAAAGAAGAGGAGAUCACGCCGGCAAUGAUAAUGCCGGCGUGAUCAUUUCUG